AUUGAACGCUGGCGGCAGGCCUAACACAUGCAAGUCGAGCGGAUGAAGGGAGCUUGCUCCUGGAUUCAGCGGCGGACGGGUGUGUAAUGCCUAGGAAUCUGCCUGGUAGUGGGGGAUAACGUCCGGAAACGGGCGCUAAUACCGCAUACGUCCUGAGGGAGAAAGUGGGGGAUCUUCGGACCUCACGCUAUCAGAUGAGCCUAGGUCGGAUUAGCUAGUUGGUGGGGUAAAGGCCUACCAAGGCGACGAUCCGUAACUGGUCUGAGAGGAUGAUCAGUCACACUGGAACUGAGACACGGUCCAGACUCCUACGGGAGGCAGCAGCGGGGAAUAUUGGACAAUGGGCGAAAGCCUGAUCCAGCCAUGCCGCGUGUGUGAAGAAGGUCUUCGGAUUGUAAAGCACUUUAAGUUGGGAGGAAGGGCAGUAAGUUAAUACCUUGCUGUUUUGACGUUACCAACAGAAUAAGCACCGGCUAACUUCGUG
rnacentral:rRNA from 1 species